rnacentral:pre_miRNA from 1 species
AAUAACCUUAUUUUUCGUUUUUUCGUGUUCAACGUUUUGACCAUUCGUCUUAUUUGAAAAUUUUAUGCAAAAAUCUAAAAAAAUUAGUCACGUAUAAAAUAUUGUUCAUAUUUUAUCAUCUAGUAAUAAUAAAAAUAUUAAUCGCAAAAAAUUUCAAAUAAAACGAAUGGUCAAAUGUUGGAAGAAAAACG